rnacentral:lncRNA from 1 species
AUUAAUUAAUAAAGUUAUAAUUUAAAUAUUAAAAUAAUUUUAAUAAUAAAUAAAGUUGAUUAAUAAAAUAUAAAAAAUUGAUUAAUGAAAUUAUAAAAUUGUUAAUCACAUAAUUUUAUAUUAAUAUUAUUUAAUCUAAAAAUAAAAAGUAAACUAAAAAGUAAAAAAAUAAUUAUUAUAUAUAUUUUUCUAAAAUAUUAUUAUAAAAUAGUAACAAUAUAGGAGUAGGGAUGAGGUGUAAGUACGUCAUUUUUUUAUAAGUUAUGGUUAAUAUAUGGUACACGACUAAUACAGAUUCUAUAGCUGAUCCUCUUAUGUACAACUAACAUCGCCGACAGAAUAUACUAAAGAUAUCUAAUGAUACUAACUAACUUUUUAACCAUAUACAUGAUCCUCUUAUCAUGUUUCAUUCCACUUUUAUUUUGUUUUAAAUAAAACACAAGUUUCAUUC